AACCGGAAACGGUUGUUAAUACCGCAUAAUGCAGCGGCAUCACAUGAUGACAGUUGUUAAAGCGGGGAUUGGAGCAAUCCGACCUCGCGCCUGAAGAGAAGCCUGCGGCAGAUUAGGUAGUUGGUGAGGUAAUGGCUCACCAAGCCUGCGAUCUGUAACCGGCCUGAGAGGGCGGUCGGUCACACUGACACUGACAUACGGGUCAG
rnacentral:rRNA from 1 species